rnacentral:rRNA from 1 species
AUCUUGUACUCUCUAAUCAGGAUCCUGAGUACGGCCCAGCACGUGAAAUUGGGUCGGAAUCUGGGAGGACCAUCUCCCAAGGCUAAAUACUAACUAGUGACCGAUAGCGAACAAGUACCGUGAGGGAAAGGUGAAAAGAACCCCGGAAGGGGAGUGAAAUAGUUCUUGAAACCGUGUGCUUACAAGAAGUUCGAGGCCGUUAAUGGCUGAGAGCGUGCUUUUUGUAGAAUGAACCGGAGAGUUACGAUUGCGUGCAAGGUUAAGGUGCAAAGACUGGAGCCGUAGCGAAAGCGAGUCUUAAUAGGGCGAAUCAGUACGUAGUUGUAGACCCGAAACCGAGUGACCUAUCCAUGGUCAGGUUGAAGGUGGGGUAAUACCUACUGGAGGACCGAACAAGUGGGUGUUAAAAAACCCUUUGAUGAACUGUGGAUAGCGGUGAAAUUCCAAUCGAACUCGGAGAUAGCUGGUUCUAUCCGAAAUACAUUUAGGUGUAGCCUUGCAAUUAGCUUACUGGAGGUAGAGCACUAUUUGGUCUAGGGGCCCUUCAAGGGUUACCAAAAUCAGAUAAACUCCGAAUGCCAGCUAAGUAUGUGCAGGAGUCAGACGGUGAGUGAUAAGAUCCAUCGUCAAAAGGGGAACAGCCCAGAUCACCAGUUAAGGUCCCUAAAUAUAUGCUAAGUGGAAAACGUUGUGAAGGUGCAUAGACAACUAGGAGGUUGGCUCAGAAGCAGCCACCCUUUAAAGAGUGCGUAAUAGCUCACUAGUCGAGUGCUCUUGCGCGGAUAAUGUACCGGGGCUAAGCAUAUUACCGAAACUGUGGAUGCGUAAGCAUGGUAGGAUAGCGUAAUUAACGCGAUGAAGGAUGACCGUAAGGACAUGUUGGAGCGUUAACUAGUGAGAAUUCCGGUAUGAGUAGCGAAAGAUAGGUGAGAAUCCUAUCCACCGAAUGAGUAAGGUUUCCCCCGGAAGGCUCGUCCGCGGGGGGUUAGUCGGGACCUAAGGCGAGGCUGAAAAGCGUAGUCGAUGGACAACAGGUUGAUAUUCCUGUACCGAUAUUUAAUUGCCGAAGGAAGGACGCAGAAGGAUAACACAGGCCACUAUUGGAUGUGGUUUUAAACAGUUAGUCUUCAUAAGAGUCAAAUGCUUUUAUGUUUAAGGAUAAGCUGUGAAUGUACCAAGUUUACUUGGAAAUUGUGUGAUUUCACGCUGCUGAAAAAAGUUUCGUAGGAAGAAAAUAUUGCCCGUACCGCAAACCGACACAGGUACUCAAGUGGAGAACACUAAGGUGAGCGAGUGAACUAUUGUUAAGGAACUCUGCAAAAUGAGUCCGUAACUUCGGAAGAAGGACUGCUGGUUUUAUACCAGCCGCAGCAAAUAGGCCCAAACAACUGUUUAUCAAAAACACAGGUUUCUGCAAAAUCGUAAGAUGAAGUAUAGGGGCUGACGCCUGCCCAGUGCUGGAAGGUUAAAAGGAGGACUUAGCUUCGGCGAAGGUCUUAAUUGAAGCCCCAGUGAACGGCGGCCGUAACUAUAACGGUCCUAAGGUAGCGAAAUUCCUUGU